UUUUGAUUGUGGACAUGAUGUGAUGACCAGCUGCUUCAAGCUCCUGCCACUGUGACUUCACCAGCACAGAGAGACUGUACCUUAGACCUGUGAGCCAGAAUAAGCCCUUUCUCCCUUAAGCUGCUUCUGACAGAGUAUUUCAUCCCAGGAACAGAAGAGAAGCUGAGACGUAUAGCAACCUACAUGUGUAAUCGUGAUGCUAGAACUAUGCAACUCCCACUGCUUUUCAGAAAGAAGACUCACCUGGUUCGAGCAUACCAUGAAUGCCUGGUGCCUGUAGAGGUCAGAAGACGUUGUUUUUGGAUCCCCUGGAACUGGAGUUAAGCAGUUUUAAACUACGUUGUAGGGCUCGGGAACUGACCUCAGAUGCUGUGCAAGAGCAGCAAACACUCUUAGCCUCUGAGCUCUUGAUGUCUAUUCUUCAAAGAUAGCAGAGUGUUUUCAAA
rnacentral:lncRNA from 1 species